GUUCCCAACAUCUGAGAGAGACACCUUUUGUAACAACACUAAGAGAAGUGCCACCACCUCGUUGGUGUCAGCUUAUCUGAAGAGACCUCUUGACCCGAAGUCCAGCAGAAAUUGCCAACAUAUGUUCAGAUUGUUUUCGUACAAGCAAAGAAGGAAUGGAAUGGUACAAGAUUGGAAACUGCAUUUAUUUUAACUUGUGGAUGAGCCUAAGAAAGUAUGAAGAUACAGGAGCAAGAAAGAAAAGGAACAGAAAGCUAAUCAGGAAAUAACUUCCCGAAGAGGUAAACUACCUAAAGCAUAAGGAGAUGAAGAAGCUGCCCAAAGUCUAACGUCACCAGAUAUGCUUGCUGGAUCUCUGGUCUGUCAUCACUCAUCUGUAAUCUGACCUACUGUUGUAAUUUUAAUGACUUGGGUUUUUUUAUCAGGCAUCUUUCCACAUUCUGAUUUCCAAAUUGUCAUUUUUAAGAGUGAACCAGAGAUAUUUACUUAUUGCUACUUUUGAAAACAUCAGAGGGCUAAAAACCAACGUGUUUCUGUUUCACAAAACAUUUUCUUCAGCUUGACUUUUAUUAUUUUCCCUGAGUUUCCUUGGACUAGAAAACAGACGCCAUAAAGGAGUAAAAUGACAUCAAAUGAAUUUUAAAGAACAUCAGAAGAUGAGGUGCUAUAUCAAAAUGCAUAUAAACCUGAAAUAUUUUCCAUUUGUUCUACUGAACUCCUGACAAUCAUGUGAUAGGAGAGUUUAAUUUGUAAAAGUUUAGGUGUCUUUAGAAGACUUUACACCAACGGCUAAAGGUAGAGAGAAGUUCAAAGAUUAAAUAACAGUAAUAACUCAUGGGAAAGGGGAAAAAAAGAAUGUUUACAUUUAUACAUCAUAUCUGAAAGGAAAAUAUUCUAGAAGAAAACAAACUUGGCUUCUAGGAAAUUAACUGAAGAUAUUGCACAGUCAGGUUAGAGGUUUCUGGCAGAAAUUUCACUUGUGGAACUUGCAGAAAUGAGCAGGGGACUCUGUCCAGCAGAAAGUAUAAAAGUAUCCUAGACUAAAAAUGUAACUGCACCUACUGGGGCUGAAGUCAGACCUGGAUGAAUCAUUGCCAUCAUGCAAAGAAUAAAUGGAAUGGGUACAAAACUAAUUAGCCCUGCCCUGAGGUCUGAACACCUGCCAAACAUACAGUCCUCCUUCAUCACUCAGUACUGAAUUUUCUCAUGCUUCUGCAUAUGCGAUACGGAUUAUUUG